AGCCCUGAAGAGUAGAGGCCCUGCCGACUGCUUGUCUUCUCUCGUGUCCCUCUCACUAGCUCAGGAAUGACUUGACUCAGCAGGUCUGAGUUACCUCAUCGAUUGGACAGACUGAGACCAGAGCUGAGCUACUACUCCCUGACAAUGUCACUUCUGUAACCAAAAGCUCAUUGUUGUAUGGUUAACUAGGUCCUUGCUACUCAGGGUAUGGACCAGCAGCAUUACCAUCCCUGAUGCAGAAUCUUGGGCCUCACUCCAGAAGCCCUGAAUCAGAAUCUGCAUCUUUAACAAGACUCCAGGUGUCAUCCAGACUCAGCAAACUCCAGGAGGAACUGAUGCUCCUUUACCUUCAACUGUGGAGCCCGGACAAGAACAGCCUCCCUCUCUGUGGAAUCCUUGUGGAGCUCCCAGUCCAGCUCAGCCCAGCCCAGGUGUGCACUGCUCCCAGCUGUGUGGUCUCCCUUGCUGAACCUGCUGCUUGCAAGUGUGAAGAGGAGCAGGGAAGAGAAGACACUUGGUUCUCCGUGCAGAAAAGGCUUGGAAAUGAUCCACAGGGGACCUGCAUUUCACUUGGCACCAUGGUUUCCAGAGAAUUGAGAAGCAUCUAAUCCACUUUUUAAGAAACAUCACUUAAGUAACAGAAUGAAUUGAAGACUUGUGGGUAAGGUGGUGCCAUGAGUACAGGUAAAAACCUCAACUUUCUCC
rnacentral:lncRNA from 1 species